GACUCCUUGCUAUUAUUUUUGUCCAUGGCAUCUAUGCGGACACCACUAUUCUGGUUUGUGCUUUUCUGGUCCUGGGCUCUCGUGUAAAAUGUGUAACCAUUUAUCUCAUAGCCUUGGAAUUUGACGAUUGUGCUAGCAGGUCCCCUGGCUAACCAGGCAAGCUGUGGGUGAAUCUCAGAGUUACCCAUAAGUUGUUGGCGCAACCAGGUGGGAAAAGUUUCCAUGUGAUGACGGGUAAGCCAAGCAUCG
rnacentral:lncRNA from 1 species